rnacentral:misc_RNA from 1 species
GAAAUGCGAUAAGUAAUGUGAAUUGCAGAAUUCCGUGAAUCAUCGAAUCUUUGAACGCACAUUGCGCCCUCUGGUAUUCCGGGGGGCAUGCCUGUCCGAGCGUCAUUGCAACCCUCAAGCGCGGCUUGUGUGUUGGGCUCCGUCCCCCGUGGACGGGCCCGAAAGGCAGUGGCGGUACCGUGUUCCGGUGCCCGAGCGUAUGGGCUUUAUCACCCGCUCUAGUGGCCCGGCCGGCGCUGGCCGAACCCCAACUUUAUCAAGGUUGACCUCGGAUCAGGUAGGGAUACCCGCUGAACUUAA